AUAAAUAACAAAAUCUUGAUGUCCAACAGCACACGUCCCUCCCAAUUGUGAGGUUGCGGGUUCAAAUCAGGGUGUGACGGUCUGUGUGGAGUUUCCAUGUUCUUCCUGACUCUGCGUGGCUUUUCUUCGGGAUGGUGGUAAACUAUCGAGUUGUUCGUUAGGCGGCCAUAACGAAACGAGCAGGGAGGCGCGGGGAGGGGGUGAACUAUCUCGCUUCCUCCUCUCGCCAACUUUCAUCGUGGCGGCGCGAACUUUCGAACGUUUGGUCCAAAACAAAAAUGGCGACGAGGGGCAAGUGUCGAACCCCCUACGUGAAAGCUGUGAACACGACGUUCGAGAAGUAUAAAGCGGACUCGUCCGUCGUCGAGGAGAAGUUGCUGCAGCUUCAAAUUGACGACGACAACGGCGGCGACGACGACGAAGGUCCGAUGGUGUUCAUCUGCGGGAAGUGCAAGUUGCCCGUCGGUGAUUCCUUGUCGUGGGACGCCCGCGAAGACGCACAAAAUCAAAUUGAACUCAAGCGGGUCUCCAACAACGUGCUGAUUGGUAAGGACGCUCGUCUUCACGAAGCCAGCAGAGGUUCUCUGUGUCUGAUCGUGGAUUUGGUGUGUGUCGGGUGCCGUUCGGUCCUCGGGAUGAUCUACAAGUCCACGCCCAGGAACCUGGACCACAAGAGAUACAAGUUCUGCUUUGACGUGGCCCACAUCGACAGUUACGUGCUGGGCUCGGCCAACGUGAAGUUGACGGGCACCGACGCCGGAGAGGAACCGGUGACGCUGGAGUACCGACGCCAAGUCCAGCAGUGGCUCGCCGAGAUGAAGCUGCUGGUGGUGUCGAUGGCGCGCCGCGUGGAGGAGCUGGAGAACCUCGUUCAAGAUGAGGCCUGAGGCCCCACCCCCCCAAAUUGGCGCCGUCAACAGUUCGGCCAUAGAUCGCGACGCCUUUUGUUCGCCGUGCGUGCGCGGUGGUCUGGUCCAGGCCCCUCAGCAGAGGGUCUUGAGCGCCCCCGACGCACACAGCAGAGUCUGCAUGGGGUAGGGGGGCGGGGACACCACCUCCUCCACCACUUGCUCGGGUCG